rnacentral:snRNA from 1 species
GUCCUUCGGGACAUAUGGUCAAUUUGAAACGAUACAGAGAAGAUUAGCAUGGCCCCUGCAUAAGGAUGACACGCUUUGAUAAAGAGAGUAUGAUGUUUUUU